UAGUCCACGCAGUAAACGAUGGACACUAGUUGUUGGAUUAUUUCAGUGACUAAGCGAAAGUAAUAAGUGUCCCACCUGGGGAGUACGAUCGCAAGAUUGAAACUCAAAGGAAUUGACGGGGGCCCGCACAAGCGGUGGAGCAUGUGGUUUAAUUCGAUGAUACGCGAGGAACCUUACCAGGGCUUAAAUGUAGUCUGACAGCUUUAGAGAUAGAGUUUUCUUCGGACAGAUUACAAGGUGCUGCAUGGUUGUCGUCAGCUCGUGCCGUGAGGUGUCAGGUUAAGUCCUAUAACGAGCGCAACCCCUGUUGUUAGUUGCCAGCGAGUAAUGUCGGGAACUCUAGCAAGACUGCCGGUGCAAACCGCGAGGAAGGUGGGGAUGACGUCAAAUCAUCACGGGCCCUUACGUCCUGGGGCCACACACGUGCUACAAUGGUAGGUACAGAGAGCAGCCACUUGGGCGACAAGGGAGCGAAUCUAUAAAACCUAUCACAGUUCGGGAUC
rnacentral:rRNA from 1 species